rnacentral:rRNA from 1 species
UACGUAGGCAGCAAGCGUUGUUCGGAAUUACUGGGCGUAAGGAGUGUGUAGGUGGUGUCGUAAGUUUGGUGUGAAAUCUCCCGGCUUAACUGGGAGGGUGCGCCGAAGACUGCGAUGCUGGAGUAUGGGAGAGGAAAGCGGAAUUCCUGGUGUAGCGGUGAAAUGCGUAGAUAUCAGGAGGAACACCUGCGGUGUAGACGGCUUUCUGGACCAUUACUGACACUGAGACACGAAAGCGUGGGUAGCAAACAGG